AUUGAACGCUGGCGGCAUGCCUUACACAUGCAAGUCGAACGGCAGCGGGCCUUCGGGUGCCGGCGAGUGGCGAACGGGUGAGUAAUGCAUCGGAACGUGCCAUUGAGUGGGGGAUAACGUAGCGAAAGUUGCGCUAAUACCGCAUAUUCUGUGAGCAGGAAAGCAGGGGACCGCAAGGCCUUGCGCUCUUUGAGCGGCCGAUGUCAGAUUAGCUAGUUGGUGAGGUAAAGGCUUACCAAGGCGACGAUCUGUAGCGGGUCUGAGAGGAUGAUCCGCCACACUGGAACUGAGACACGGUCCAGACUCCUACGGGAGGCAGCAGUGGGGAAUUUUGGACAAUGGGCGCAAGCCUGAUCCAGCCAUGCCGCGUGAGUGAAGAAGGCCUCGG
rnacentral:rRNA from 1 species